rnacentral:rRNA from 1 species
UACAGAGGGGCAAGCGUUAUUCGGAAUUAUUGGGCGUAAAGGGCGCGUAGGCGGCCAUUCAAGUGACGGGUGAAAGCCCUCGGCUUAACCGAGGAACUGCCUGUCAGACUGGAUGGCUUGAGACCGGGGAGAGGUGAAGUGGAAUUCCCAGUGUAGCGGUGAAAUGCGUAGAUAUUGGGAGGAACACCAGUGGCGAAGGCGGCUCACUGGACCGGAACUGACGCUGAGGCGCGAAAAGCGUGGGGAGCA